rnacentral:lncRNA from 1 species
ACUGGAUCAAGGACAUGUCUUUAAACAGUGGAUUGGAUCUGUAGAGGUAAUUACAAUUAUUUUUUUGACUUGGUAGCUUGACUAAAUUGAAGAAUUGCAUUCAGUUUGGGUUUUGUAUGUUCUUAAAUAGCUACUGAAAUCUUGUUAAGUCAAAAAAUAAAAGUCUUCAUCCUCUUAUUUGGACAUUUUCUCUUUAAAAAGCUUGAAAAUGUUGGGAACAUGUUAGUAAAUGAAUGUUUUACCAAAUG